CUGGGUUACAACUGCAUGCAGCUCUUAAGGACCCUCUCAAUGCACUUUUACAGGCAUGUUCAUCCAGGAUCCAUAACCCUGAUCCUGAUCCAAGACACUCCUCAGCUUCCAACCAGCCUCCUACCCUACUUCCUAGCAAUAACCGCCACUCAAGAAGAUGACUCAACCCGCAGACCCAGAAACCACGGCCCAAUUACAGCAUUCAGAAUGGCUCAUGUGGAAUGGCUCUCAGCUCCUCUCCGAUUGGAUCCUGCCUCUCCGGGCUAAAUGCAAGUUAACUGAUUCCUAAAAAUACCCCCUGACGUGAGUCAUCCUCUUGCAAGAGCCCUGGGGAAUGUUUUCCAAAGAAACGGUGAGGCCCAGCGAAGAGGGGGUUUCUCCCCGGUGAGUCAUGUCAGUGGUGUGCAGAGCUGUGUCUCCCCUGUUCCCAGGCUCUGGGCUGGGCCGCCGGGUGAUUUGCUGAAAUGCAAGCCUGGCAGCAGUUCCAACUCCUCCUCCCACACCCGUUCCCAAAAUGAAAUGAACCUGGGCUCAAGGAGAGGUGCAGGUCAACAGGAUUCCCUUUCUCUCCACGAAGAACAGCAGGAAACCCGGGGCCAGCCGUGCAGCUCUGGGCUGGGUCAGGAAGCCUGUUCUUACUGCGUCCCUUUCCCCUAUGGCAACACUGAGGGCUAAGAACCAGCUGGCCCCCACCCCAUCCAGUCGAUGAAUGGAGAGGGCGCUGGGGCUGUAGACCCUGCACCGCUCUUACAGACCCUGAGGUGGGCAGAGUCUGUGAAGCCAGGACCCCUCUCUGAGCGAAGCAGCUGAUCCUCCCAGGGCUUGAGGCUCUGCCCUUGCCAGCAACUGCUGCUCCUUGCUAGCGGGUCCUAGAAUGCACAUGAAAUCAAAAACAUUCCCUCAGAGUGGGUUUUCAGAUGUAAAAAUGUGUCCUGUGGUGGCAAAGAACUUUAUAACCUUCCUGAAACGAGGCAGCAUGAAACAUCAAUGACCUCACAAGGACACUGAUGUUCAGAUAGUACGAGUGCCUCUGCGUGUUGCUGCUACACCAUCUUCACAGCAAGCGUGGAGACACCCCGUGCCUGCGCUCUCCCGCUGGCCCCGAGGCCACUCUUAAGGGGCACGUGCAGGGUGCCACAGCCGCUGCGCUCCAAGUCAAGAUGCGAUGCCUCAGCUGGACCACAGACAGGAUGAGGAUGGAGCUCAGCUGUGUGUGGAUGCAGCUGAGGACAGCCGGAACU
rnacentral:lncRNA from 1 species